rnacentral:rRNA from 1 species
CCUACGGGUGGCAGCAGUGGGGAAUAUUGGACAAUGGGGGCAACCCUGAUCCAGCCAUGCCGCGUGUGUGAAGAAGGCCCUCGGGUUGUAAAGCACUUUCAGUGAAGAAGAACGCCUGGUGGUUAAUACCCAUCAGGAAAGACAUCACUCACAGAAGAAGCACCGGCUAACUCCGUGCCAGCAGCCGCGGUAAUACGGAGGGUGCGAGCGUUAAUCGGAAUUACUGGGCGUAAAGCGCGCGUAGGUGGCUUGAUAAGCCGGUUGUGAAAGCCCCGGGCUCAACCUGGGAACGGCAUCCGGAACUGUCAAGCUAGAGUGCAGGAGAGGAAGGUAGAAUUCCCGGUGUAGCGGUGAAAUGCGUAGAGAUCGGGAGGAAUACCAGUGGCGAAGGCGGCCUUCUGGACUGACACUGACACUGAGGUGCGAAAGCGUGGGUAGCAAACAGGAUUAGAUACCCUAGUAGUC